UUUCUUGUGGUGUAAUGGAUAGCACGUUGGCCUUUGAAGCCGAAGAUUGAGGUUCGAUCCCUCACUAGAAAA